rnacentral:rRNA from 1 species
AUUGAACGCUGGCGGCAUGCCUUACACAUGCAAGUCGAACGGUAACGGGCCUUCGGGUGCCGACGAGUGGCGAACGGGUGAGUAAUACAUCCGAACGUGCCCGAUCGUGGGGGAUAACGAGGCGAAAGCUUUGCUAAUACCGCAUACGAUCUACGGAUGAAAGCCGGGGACCGCAAGGCCUUGCGCGGACGGAGCGGCCGAUGGCAGAUUAGGUAGUUGGUGGGAUAAAAGCUUACCAAGCCGACGAUCUGUAGCUGGUCUGAGAGGAUGAUCAGCCACACUGGGACUGAGACACGGCCCAGACUCCUACGGGAGGCAGCAGUGGGGAAUUUUGGACAAUGGGCGCAAGCCUGAUCCAGCCAUGCCGCGUGCAGGAUGAAGGCCUUCGGGUUGUAAACUGCUUUUGUACGGAACGAAAAGCCUUCUUUUAAUACAGGAGGGUCAUGACGGUACCGUAAGAAUAAGCACCGACUAACUACGUG